AUGUACCUGGAUCUAAUUAAUUCUGGCCCAAUCCCAAGAUCGAUUCACAUUUGGAAGAUAAAAGUUCCGUUGAGAAUUAAGAUCUUCAUGUGGUUCGUUCACAAGGAAGUGAUUCUAACCAAGGAUAAUCUGCUAAAGCGAAGAUGGGUAGGCAGUUCACGCUGUUGUUUUUGUGACAAGGAUGAAACAAUAGAACACCUCUUUAUAGAUUGCCCUCUCGCCAAGCUUCUUUGGCACACGAUUCAUAUAGCCUUUAACAUUAACCCUCCAGUCAGCAUUGGCAUGUUACUUGGGACGUGGCUAACUGGAGUGGAACCAGUUAUUGCGGGACGUAUUCGGAUAGAAAAAUGCACACUGCUUUGGGCUAUAUGGAACUGCAGAAAUGAUAUGAUCUUUAACAGAAAAAAUCUUACAAACUUCUUGCAGGUUAUUUACAGAGCUACAACUUGGAUGCGUACGUGGUCGUUACUCACUCAUACGGACUCCAGGGAAUUUUGGUUACUGGGUGCAACCGAUGGGAGACGGUAG
rnacentral:rRNA from 1 species